UGCCCGAUGGAGGGGGAUAACUACUGGAAACGGUAGCUAAUACCGCAUAACGUCGCAAGACCAAAGAGGGGGACCUUCGGGCCUCUUGCUAUCGGAUGUGCCCAGAUGGGAUUAGCUAGUAGGUGGGGUAACGGCUCACCUAGGCGACGAUCCCUAGCUGGUCUGAGAGGAUGACCAGCCACACUGGAACUGAGACACGGUCCAGACUCCUACGGGAGGCAGCAGUGGGGAAUAUUGCACAAUGGGCGCAAGCCUGAUGCAGCCAUGCCGCGUGUAUGAAGAAGGCCUUCGGGUUGUAAAGUACUUUCAGCGGGGAGGAAGGGAGUAAAGUUAAUACCUUUGCUCAUUGACGUUACCCGCAGAAGAAGCACCGGCUAACUCCGUGCCAGCAGCCGCGGUAAUACGGAGGGUGCAAGCGUUAAUCGGAAUUACUGGGCGUAAAGCGCACGCAGGCGGUUUGUUAAGUCAGAUGUGAAAUCCCCGGGCUCAACCUGGGAACUGCAUCUGAUACUGGCAAGCUUGAGUCUCGUAGAGGGGGGUAGAAUUCCAGGUGUAGCGGUGAAAUGCGUAGAGAUCUGGAGGAAUACCGGUGGCGAAGGCGGCCCCCUGGACGAAGACUGACGCUCAGGUGCGAAAGCGUGGGGAGCAAACAGGAUU
rnacentral:rRNA from 1 species